UAAGAAAGUUCUAAGUUUUCUUUGCAACGCUUGGCGAAUAAAGCAAUUUUUCAGUUAUCGUUCUUUUCCUGUGUUCGUUUUUGUUUCUAUAAGUGUAGUCUUAGGAAGAACACAUUUUCUAAUUGAAUUUUGUAAUUGUCUUACCAAUGACUUUAAUAACUAGGAAGACCAGUGUGUUAAAACCUCAGAACUAGGUGAUCUUAGCGUACUAGCUGCUAAGAUGGGUUUAAUUGCUCUUAUCUAUACUGAUAAGAUUAUGGAGGCUACGGGAGUCUCAUAGUGCCUGGAUAAUGUAGGAGGGAUCAGUAGAUUAGAGUAUAAGGUGGGGGCAUCGUUAUGGUUGAUAUGUAUGAAACAGAGUCAACUAAUCAGUUUUAGGGAAAGAUGUAGGAUCCUUGAUAAUAUUGAGAUGUUAGUACCCACUCCUGACAAAUGAGCCUAUUUUCCUAAGUAGGAGUGCAUUGCUGUUAGCGAAGCCAUUCUUUGUAGAGGCAUGAGAUUGCCUUUGCACCCCUUCUUUAGGUACAUCAUUAGACUAUACAACAUCGCCUCCACCUAGCUCUUUCUCAAUGCUUGGAGCCAUUUACUAAGGGUCUUUCUUUUGUGGAAAGAGGCCAGUGGGGACGAGGACAUGCCUCCUCAUGUCUUAUAUACCGGAUUCCAACUUAGGAAUUGUUCUAGGGAUAAGGACAAUAAAGGUGUUAAUGUAUUAAUCCUUGGGGCUCGCAUGUGUCCUUUAUUUAGAACACUUCCAUUUUCAUUAAGAACUGAAAAUCUUCCUAUUUCUAGAUUUGGGGUCAAUGGUAGAUAGUGGAGGACAAUGUGGUACCAAAAAUCACUGUUUCGACCCAGUAUCAUGAGUAUACUGUAGUCAACCGGUUAGAGCUCGAACCAGAGAAGUGGGCAGUUUGUAGAUGCAUUUAAGGCUUUUCUAUCGACCAGAGGCAGUACAACAACUUGAUUUCAAACUACAAUAUCUCUGUUAAACAUCAAUUGAUGGCCUCGAAAGGUACAACCUAUCUUCUUUAGCUUGUUGUUAAUAUAUAUUUUAAGUCUUAAUGUUAAUGGAUCUGAUACAUUUGUGGAGAAACAAGAGAAAACAAUUUACGCUAAGCCCGACCUGUUAACGCUGCAUCACUUGGCGCGAGACAAGAAAAAAUAAACCUUUGGGUAUAACAUUGCAGUUGAUAAAUCCCAGAGAAGAGAAUUAACCUAUAUCUCUCAUGAGAAGAAGACAACAAUUGAGGAUGCUAAAGUCAAAGGAGUAAGGUGAGAAAUAAGAGGUCGCCAAGGAGAAGGCUGCAAAGAAAAUUGUGGAAAUCUCCAAGAAUAUCGACACCUCUCCUCAUCCUACGAAGCAACUCAUGAUUGAGCAGUCCUAGAAAAGGCCUUUGUCCAUAGAGCCCAUUCAAGCCAUUCAAAUAAUAGACUUGGAAGAGGUCAAGGAACAAGAGGAAAAAGCCUACUGAAGAGCCGAAGAGGCGAAGAGUAUGCUAAGGGACUAGCCUUUGAAGGAAAAGCUUGUACGUUCUUGGAAUGUCAGGUCGAUGAACUAAAUAUUGCUUGUUUUGAAAUGCUCUCCACUGAAGUCCAGCCCGUUGCGAGGGUUUGCCAAAACUAUAGACUAUAAGUACUCCAACUACGAAGAUACCUACAAUUCGGUUUAUAUGACGGAGACUGGCACCAGUAAGCCUUUAGUUAAGAAAACUUUUAGAGGAUGGAUGUGGCUAAGAAUGAGGCGAAGAAGUUGAUUGUGGAGUUCUCCAUAGUGAAUGAGGUAAUUGAGGAGGCCAAGCUAAAGUAGAUAGAAGAGAAAUAGAGUAUCACUUUCCUUAAUGCUGAAAAUAUGAAAUUGAAAAAGGAAGUGCACCUUUCCAAAUUUGAAGUUCAAAGCCUAAUGAAGUGGGUCAAAACUUUGAUAACCUUUAGAUGACCAUCUCUUCUGAUUUGGAGGUGGAAAACAAGGAAAAGGGAGAGCUGGGCUCUCAAAAUAGCAAGUCAAAUAUUGAGGUGGCAAGCUUAAGGUAACAAGUCAUUGAAGUGGGGCCUAUUGCUGUUAGAGAGUACUAGGCACAUUUCCAUGAAAUCAUGGAGUAUGAUGGCCUUAGAGCUCAUUAGAGAAAGGUGGGUACAAAGAGGUACUCGAAAAGCUUGAAGCUAAUCAUCCUGAAUUGGACUUUUUGGUCCAAAAGGAGGAGUUUCUUUCGGUGUUCCCCACCACUCCUAUGGAGGAUGCAUACUCUACCCAAGAGCUUGAAGAUGAGGACGAAGCAGCUAAAACAGAUGCCACAUUAUAGAGAAAGGCCCUUUCUUUGUCAUUUUUAGUGUAAAAAUGAGGCAUAUUCCUCUUCUGCGAAUUUAUUUGAUGAAAAAAUUCUCCU